rnacentral:rRNA from 1 species
GUCCCAGACUCCUACGGGAGGCAGCAGUGGGGAAUAUUGCACAAUGGGGGGAACCCUGAUGCAGCGACGCCGCGUGGGUGAAGGAGUACCUCGGUACGUAAAGCCCUAUCAGCAGGAAAGAAAAUGACGGUACCUGACUAAGAAGCCCCGGCUAACUACGUGCCAGCAGCCGCGGUAAUACGUAGGGGGCAAGCGUUAUCCGGAUUUACUGGGUGUAAAGGGAGCGUAGACGGCAGUGCAAGUCCGGAGUGAAAGCCCGGGGCUCAACCCUGGGACUGCUCUGGAAACUGUAAAGCUGGAGUGCGGGAGGGGCAGGCGGAAUUCCUGGUGUAGCGGUGAAAUGCGUAGAUAUCAGGAGGAACACCGGCGGCGAAGGCGGCCUGCUGGACCGUAACUGACGUUGAGGCUCGAAAGCGUGGGGAGCAAACAGGAUUAGAUACCCUGGUAGA